rnacentral:lncRNA from 1 species
GGUCCUUGGUUUAUGACCUUGAAAUUGAUCUCAAGGUCAUAGCUUAAUUUGACGUUCUAGAUUUUGACCUUUGCUUUUAUUCUAUAUGUAUACAUGAUAAAGGUAUACAACUUUUAGAAAAAGGUAUCAAACCAUUUAACCUUGAAAAAAACCAACCGGAAGUGACCUUUUGUAAACCGGAAGUAGCUAUUUUUUUGUACUUUAUUAAUAUAAAAGUAUAUAGAAC